rnacentral:rRNA from 1 species
GAUAAACGCUGGCGGCGUGCAUGAGACAUGCAAGUCGAACGGACGAUCGGGCUUGCCUGAUCGUUAGUGGCGGACGGCUGAGUAACGCGUAGGUGACCUGCCCCGAAGUGGGGAAUAACUGCCCGAAAGGGUGGCUAAUACCGCAUGCGGAGUCACGUUCGGUCGUGACUCCAAAGUCGCAAGACGCUUCGGGAGGGGCCUGCGUCCGAUUAGCUCGUUGGUGGGGUAACGGCUCACCAAGGCGACGAUCGGUAGGUGGUCUGAGAGGACGAUCACCCAGACUGGGACUGAGACACGGCCCAGACUCCUACGGGAGGCAG